rnacentral:rRNA from 1 species
AUUGAACGCUGGCGGCAUGCUUUACACAUGCAAGUCGAACGGCAGCACGGGGGCAACCCUGGUGGCGAGUGGCGAACGGGUGAGUAAUAUAUCGGAACGUACCCGGAAAUGGGGGAUAACGUAGCGAAAGUUACGCUAAUACCGCAUAUUCUGGGAGCAGGAAAGCAGGGGAUCGCAAGACCUUGCGCUGAUUGAGCGGCCGAUAUCAGAUUAGCUAGUUGGUGAGGUAAAGGCUCACCAAGGCGACGAUCUGUAGCGGGUCUGAGAGGAUGAUCCGCCACACUGGAACUGAGACACGGUCCAGACUCCUACGGGAGGCAGCAGUGGGGAAUUUUGGACAAUGGGGGCAACCCUGAUCCAGCCAUGCCGCGUGAGUGAAGAAGGCCU